rnacentral:rRNA from 1 species
CACGUAGGAGACGAGCGUUAUCCGGAUUUACUGGGUGUAAAGCGCGUGCAGGCGGUAUGGUAAGUUGGAUGUGAAAGCUCCUGGCUUAACUGGGAGAGGUCGUACAAGACUGCCAGACUAGAGGACAGCAGAGGGGAGUGGAAUUCCGAGUGUAGCGGUAAAAUGCAUAGAUAUUCGGAAGAACACCAGUGGCGAAGGCGGCUCUCUGGGCUGUACCUGACGCUCAGACGCGAAAGCUAGGGUAGCAAACGGGAUUAGAAACCCCUGUAGUCC